rnacentral:rRNA from 1 species
ACCCGCUGAACUUAAGCAUAUCAAUAAGCGGAGGAAAAGAAACCAACAGGGAUUGCCCUAGUAACGGCGAGUGAAGCGGCAUCAGCUCAAAUUUGAAAUCUGGCUCUUUUAGGGUCCGAGUUGUAAUUUGCAGAGGGCGCUUUGGCAUAGGCAGCGAUUCAAGUUCCUUGGAACAGGACGUCACAGAGGGUGAGAAUCCCGUACGUGGUCGCUAGCUCUUGCCGUGUAAAGCCCCUUCGACGAGUCGAGUUGUUUGGGAAUGCAGCUCUAAAUGGGAGGUAAAUUUCUUCUAAAGCUAAAUAUUGGCCAGAGACCGAUAGCGCACAAGUAGAGUGAUCGAAAGAUGAAAAGUACUUUGGAAAGAGAGUCAAAAAGCACGUGAAAUUGUUGAAAGGGAAGCGCUUGCAGCCAGACUUGCCUGUAGUUGCUCAUCCGGGCUCUUGCCCGGUGCACUCUUCUGUAGGCAGGCCAGCAUCAGUUUGGGCGGUUGGAUAAAGGUCUCUGUCAUGUACCUCUCUUCGGGGAGGCCUUAUAGGGGAGGCGACAUACAACCAGCCUGGACUGAGGUCCGCGCAUCUGCUAGGAUGCUGGCGUAAUGGCUGU